CAGUAGCCACGGGAAUACGAAGGGUGCAAGCGUUACUCGGAAUUACUGGGCGUAAAGCGCGCGUAGGCGGUUAUUUAAGUCAGGGGUGAAAGCCCGGUGCUCAACACCGGAACAGCCCUUGAGACUGGAUAACUUGAAUCCAGGAGAGGUGAGUGGAAUUCCGAGUGUAGAGGUGAAAUUCGUAGAUAUUCGGAAGAACACCAGUGGCGAAGGCGGCUCACUGGACUGGUAUUGACGCUGAGGUGCGAAAGCGUGGGGAGCAAACAGGAUUAGAUACCCCAGUAGUCCCUGUCUCUUAUAC
rnacentral:rRNA from 1 species